UACGUAGGGUGCGAGCGUUAAUCGGAAUUACUGGGCGUAAAGCGUGCGCAGGCGGUCUGUUAAGACCGAUGUGAAAUCCCCGGGCUUAACCUGGGAACUGCAUUGGUGACUGGCAGGCUUUGAGUGUGGCAGAGGGAGGUAGAAUUCCACGUGUAGCAGUGAAAUGCGUAGAGAUGCGGAGGAACACCGAUGGCGAAGGCAGCCCCCUGGGCUAACACUGACGCUCAGGCACGAAAGCGUGGGGAGCAAACAGG
rnacentral:rRNA from 1 species